AAAAAUGCACAAAAAAUAAACUAGCACGCCAAGAUUUACGUGGGAAAACUCCAACUAAGAGUAAAAAACCCACGGGACCAACACGCGAUAACAAUCUACUAAGAAAUAAAAAAGAUUACAAGGUGAUUACUGAAUCCACGGACCCAAACCUCUCUUUUAUCUUCUCUGGAUCUCGCGCACACCAACAAGUUGUCCACACCCCACGUCCGAAUCCAUGAACGCAACGUCCCGAAUCCACGAAACGUCCACACUUCGAAUCCACGAAGCUUUAAUUACGCCGAAUCCACGACGCCGACUCGAAUCCACGAGCGCACUCCGUUCGGAGCAAUAUGAACAAGGUUGGUGAUGAUUUAUUGCUUAGAUGAUCAUGAAAGAACCGUAGAAGAUGUUUCUAAGCAAUAGCCGAAUCAAUUCUCCAUGAAGAACGAGAAAUUAGGGUUUCAAGAAUUGAUCCGAUAGAAACUUGUUGUUGGAGAUAAGAAAGAGAGCACCCAACAAGUUUCUAGGACUUCAAAAAGAUAUUCUAUACUUAGCCACG
rnacentral:lncRNA from 1 species